AGCGAACGCUGGCGGCAGGCCUAACACAUGCAAGUCGAACGAAGCCUUCGGGCUUAGUGGCGGACGGGUGAGUAACACGUGGGAACGUACCUUUUGGUUCGGAACAACUCAGGGAAACUUGAGCUAAUACCGGAUGAGCCCUUCGGGGGAAAGAUUUAUCGCCAUUAGAGCGGCCCGCGUUAGAUUAGCUAGUUGGUGAGGUAAAGGCUCACCAAGGCUACGAUCUAUAGCUGGUCUGAGAGGAUGAUCAGCCACACUGGGACUGAGACACGGCCCAGACUCCUACGGGAGGCAGCAGUGGGGAAUCUUGCGCAAUGGGCGAAAGCCUGACGCAGCCAUGCCGCGUGAAUGAUGAAGGUCUUAGGAUUGUAAAAUUCUUUUACCAGGGACGAUAAUGACGGUACCUGGAGAAAAAGCCCCGGCUAACUUCGUGCCAGCAGCCGCCGUAAUAC
rnacentral:rRNA from 1 species